rnacentral:rRNA from 1 species
CAGUAGCCACGGGAAUACAGAGGGUGCGAGCGUUAAUCGGAUUUACUGGGCGUAAAGCGUGCGUAGGCGGCUAAUUGAGUCGGAUGUGAAAUCCCCGAGCUUAACUUGGGAAUUGCAUUCGAUACUGGUUAGCUAGAGUGUGGGAGAGGAUGGUAGAAUUCCAGGUGUAGCGGUGAAAUGCGUAGAGAUCUGGAGGAAUACAGAUGGCGAAGGCAGCCAUCUGGCCUAACACUGACGCUGAGGUACGAAAGCAUGGGGAGCAAACAGGAUUAGAGACCCGCGUAGUCCCUGUCUCUUAUAA